rnacentral:rRNA from 1 species
AUUGAACGCUGGCGGCAGGCCUAACACAUGCAAGUCGAGCGGAGCGGCGGACGGGUGAGUAAUGCCUAGGAAUCUGCCUGGUAGUGGGGGAUAACGUCCGGAAACGGGCGCUAAUACCGCAUACUAUCAGAUGAGCCUAGGUCGGAUUAGCUAGUUGGUGGGGUAAAGGCCUACCAAGGCGACGAUCAGUAACUGGUCUGAGAGGAUGAUCAGUCACACUGGAACGGAGACCGGGUCCAGCCUCCGACGGGAGGCAGCAGUGGGGAAUAUUGGACAAUGGGCGAAACCUGGAUCCAGCCAUGCCGCGUGUGGGAACACGGUCUUCGGAUUUUAAAGCGCUUUAAGUUGGGCGGCGUUCCCAACAAAAUAAGCACCGGCUAACUACGUGCCAGCAGCCGCGGUAAUAC